CCCAAUCCUAGGUAUAAAUUUUGCACCCCAACACUAAACUCCUUUCUUCUUUCUUCUCCCUUCCCUUUCAGCCGCCACCUCUACCCCGCCGUGCACUGCCGCUAGCCGUCAUCCAAUCACCCCAAGCUUUCACCCCCCCAAUCUCAACCCCCUAUAUUCAUAUCCAAACCCCAAAUCCCUGAAAACACCCACAAUCUCUACCAAAAUAUGAAAAUAACAGUAGCCGCCACCACCUAAAAUACGACGAGAUCUAACCUUCCACACCACGUGCCAUAUAUAAACGGAUCGAUCUCAUUGAGAUUUAUAUUUUCCUACCCAUUUCACCCCGAAAAUUCCCCUCACCAUCGACCCGACCAACCCACUGCCGCCCGAUCUCACCCAAACUCACACCACAAUUAGGUAGUGAGGCGGUCGAAGCAAUACUAAAUUCCAAAGCAGAUCGUGGUCGAUUCCUCAAGGAGUUAGAUAUGGAAUUAGGUAUAAACCUAGAGUAAAUGUAUGAUGUGC
rnacentral:lncRNA from 1 species